rnacentral:rRNA from 1 species
GACGAACGCUGGCGGCGUGCUUAACACAUGCAAGUCGAACGGAAAGGUCCUGCUUUUGUGGGGUGCUCGAGUGGCGAACGGGUGAGUACCACGUGAGUAACCUGCCCUUGACUAUGGGAUAACUUCAGGAAACUGGGGCUAAUACCGGAUAGGAGCUCCUGCUGCAUGGUGGGGGUUGGAAAGUUUCGGCGGUUGGGGAUGGACUCGCGGCUUAUCAGCUUGUUGGUGGGGUAGUGGCUUACGAAGGCUUUGACGGGUAAGCGGCCUGAGAGGGUGACAGGCCACAUUGGGACUGAGAGACGGCCCAGACUCCUACGGGAGGCAGCAGUCGGGAAUAUUGCAUAAUGGGCGGAAGCCUGAUGCAGCAACGCCGCGUGCGUGAUGACGGCCUUCGGGUUGUAAGCAGCGUUCGCCUGUGACGAAGCGUGAGUGACGGUAAUGGAUAAAGAAGCACCGGCUAACUACGUG